rnacentral:misc_RNA from 1 species
UAUUUGGUGACAUAGGAACAAAUCCCGCAUUGUCACCACUACGAGAAGCGGUGAUUCGAUCGGAGAGAUCAGGUGGCGAGUCCUGAUGGGAAUUGAAUUGCUGAGAUGAGUCGGGAUGUGGCUUAUCGUCGGAUUCUGAUGGAAGGGUUUGGGUCCGACCAGUGAUAAGAGCUAAUCGAUCGCCGCCUCUCUCGAGGAUCUUCCUCCUCCUAGAUUCUCUGGUAGCGGCGGUGUUCGUUGCCAUACCCGCUUUGGUGUACAACGGAGAAGAAGACCGUUACCGUCAGUCACACAAUAUUACCAAUAUACCAUUAUAUGGAGAAAUCAAGCAUCCAAUAGCCACUAUUGCCUCUUUUCG